rnacentral:rRNA from 1 species
GGGUCAGUAGGUUGGUCGUGCCACCGGUACGUACUGGUCUCACUGAUUCCUCCUUCCUGAAGAACCGUAAUGCCAUUAAUUUGGUGUUGCGGGGAAACAGGACUGUUACUUUGAAAGAAUUAGAGUGUUUAAAGCAAGCUAACGCUUGAAUACAUUAGCAUGGAAUAAUGAAAUAGGACGAUCGAUCCUAUUUUGUUGAUUUCUAGGAUUGACGUA